CGUAGGCCUGCGACCUACGCUGAUAAAUUUCGCCCUUUCAGGGCU
rnacentral:sRNA from 1 species